rnacentral:rRNA from 1 species
AGAGUUUGAUCAUGGCUCAGGACGAACGCUGGCGGCGUGCUUAACACAUGCAAGUCGAACGAUGAAGCUCCAGCUUGCUGGGGUGGAAGAGUGGCGAACGGGUGAGUAACACGUGAGUAACCUGCCCAUCACUCUGGGAUAAGCGCUGGAAACGGCGUCUAAUACUGGAUACGAGCAACCUCGGCAUCGGGAGUUGUUGGAAAGAUUUAUCGGUGGUGGAUGGACUCGCGGCCUAUCAGCUGGAUGGUGGGGUAAUGGCUCACCAUGGCGACGACGGGUAGCCGGCCUGAGAGGGUGACCGGCCACACUGGGACUGAGACACGGCCCAGACUCCUACGGGAGGCAGCAGUGGGGAAUAUUGCACAAUGGGCGCAAGCCUGAUGCAGCAACGCCGCGUGAGGGAUGACGGCCUUCGGGUUGUAAACCUCUUUUAGUAGGGAAGAAGCGUAAGUGACGGUACCUGCAGAAAAAGCACCGGCUAACUACGUGCCAGCCGCCGCGGUAAUAC